GCCGAGAUGGUGGAACUGGUAGACACGUCGGACUCAAAAUCCGAUGCGAGUUAAAUCGCGUGGGGGUUCAACUCCCCCUCUCGGCA
rnacentral:tRNA from 1 species